UUUAACCUACGGGGGGCAGCAGUGAGGAAUAUUGGUCAAUGGCCGGAAGGCUGAACCAGCCAAGCCGCGUGAAGGACGAAGGUGCCAAGCAUUGUAAACUUCUUUUGUCAAGGGACAAAAUCAGGCUCGAGAGCCUGACCGAGGGUACUUGAAGAAAAAGCAUCGGCUAACUCCGUGCCAGCAGCCGCGGUAAUACGGAGGAUGCGAGCGUUAUCCGGAUGUAUUGGGUUUAAGGGGGGCGUAGGCGGGCUGUUAAGUCAGCGGUAAAGGCCCGGGGCUCACCCC
rnacentral:rRNA from 1 species